rnacentral:rRNA from 1 species
CUACGUAGGGGGCGAGCGUUGUCCGGAAUGACUGGGCGUAAAGGGCGUGUAGGCGGCUGUCUAAGUCUGGAGUGAAAGUCCUGCUUUCAAGGUGGGAAUUGCUUUGGAGACUGGAUGGCUUGAGUGCGGAAGAGGUAAGUGGAAUUCCCAGUGUAGCGGUGAAAUGCGUAGAGAUUGGGAGGAACACCAGUGGCGAAGGCGACUUACUGGGCCGUAACUGACGCUGAGGCGCGAAAGCGUGGGGAGCGAACAGGAUUAGAUACCCUGGUAGUCCACGCGGUAAACGAUGAAUGCCAGGUGUUGCGGGUAUCGACCCCUGCAGUGCCGGAGUAAACACAAUAAGCAUUCCGCCUGGGGAGUACGGCCGCAAGGUUGAAACUCAAAUGAAUUGACGGGG